CAUUACAUUGGGCGUAUGGAAGAGGGCAGCAUUGGCCGUUUUAUCUUGGACCAGAUCACUGAAGGGCAGCUGGACUGGGCUCCCCUGUCCUCUCCUUUUGACAUCAUGGUACUGGAAGGGCCCAAUGGCCGAAAGGAGUACCCCAUGUACAGUGGAGAGAAAGCCUACAUUCAGGGCCUCAAGGAGAAGUUUCCACAGGAGGAAGCUAUCAUUGACAAGUAUAUAAAGCUGGUUAAGGUGGUAUCCAGUGGAGCCCCUCAUGCCAUCCUGUUGAAAUUCCUCCCAUUGCCCGUGGUUCAGCUCCUCGACAGGUGUGGGCUGCUGACUCGUUUCUCUCCAUUCCUUCAAGCAUCCACCCAGAGCCUGGCUGAGGUCCUGCAGCAGCUGGGGGCCUCCUCUGAGCUCCAGGCAGUACUCAGCUACAUCUUCCCCACUUACGGUGGGUACUGGGCCUGGGCUCUGGGCAGCUUCUGGAGGAGGAACGGCUGCCCUCUCAUCUCUCAAUCUUUCUUCUCGACCCUGCCUGGCUGACUGAUAUGGAGCAGUGUAAACCCCAGGCCCUCUGGAGCUUGUGGAUGAGAAGUCUGGCCACCUGCUGGAC
rnacentral:misc_RNA from 1 species